CGACUCUCGGCAACGGAUAUCUUGGCUCUCGCAUCGAUGAAGAACGUAGCGAAAUGCGAUACUUGGUGUGAAUUGCAGAAUCCCGUGAACCAUCGAGUCUUUGAACGCAAGUUGCGCCCGAGGCUAUCCGGCCGAGGGCACGCCUGCCUGGGCGUCACGCCUAGCGUCGCUCC
rnacentral:rRNA from 3 species